rnacentral:rRNA from 1 species
GACAGACGGAUCAAAUUAAGGUUUGUACAGUAAAAAGGGGGUUAAAAAUAGUGAUAAGUUUUAGAGAAAUAUUAUGUUUUCUAAAAAGGUUAAAUUUGAAUAGAAAAAAUUAAUCUUUUGAUUUCUUAGUUUUGAGGCCCCGAAAUUUUAGCAUAAGACCGGGAUUAGAUACCCCGUUAUUUGAAUCUUAAAUUUUAAUUGUUACAAUAAUUUACUUGAGCAUUACGAGUGCAGGCAGAUAAGUUGAGACUGAAUGAUUUGUUUGUUCUACCUUAAAACUCAAAAAACUUGGCGGUGCUUUAAAUCCUCCCAGGGGAACCUGUCCUAUAAUUGAUAAUCCACAAUUUAACUUUCCUUUUAUUGAAAGUCGUUAUGACCUUCAGCUUGUAUACCGUCGUCGCCAGAUUACCUUUAAGAGUAACAAAGUUAUCGGGGCGAGAAGAAAUAUUAGUGGCAAAAUAAUUACUUUUGCCAGUGUAUUUAUCUCUGAACGUCAGAUCAAGGUGCAGCCAAUGAAAAGGUAGUGAUGGGUUACAAUGGCUAUUUGCUAUACGAAUUUCUUACUGUAAUAGUAGCUUGAAGGAGGACUUGGAAGUAAUUAGUAGAGUAAGAGAGCUCUAAUGAAUA